rnacentral:rRNA from 1 species
AUUGAACGCUGGCGGAAUGCUUACACAUGCAAGUCGAACGGCAGCACGGACUUCGGUCUGGUGGCGAGUGGCGAACGGGUGAGUAACAUAUCGGAACGUAUCCAGUAAUGGGGGAUAACUAAUCGAAAGGUUGGCUAAUACCGCAUACGCCCUACGGGGGAAAGCUAGGGACCUUCGGGCCUGGCGUUAAUGGAGCGGCCGAUAUCUGAUUAGCUAGUUGGUGGGGUAAAGGCCCACCAAGGCGACGAUCAGUAGCUGGUCUGAGAGGACGACCAGCCACACUGGAACUGAGACACGGUCCAGACUCCUACGGGAGGCAGCAGUGGGGAAUUUUGGACAGUGGGCGCAAGCCUGAUCCAGCCAUUCCGCGUGAGUGAAGAAGGCCUUCGGGUUGUAAAGCUCUUUCGCAAGGGAAGAAAACUUAGCCUCUAACAUAGGCUGAGGUUGACGGUACCUUGAUAAGAAGCACCGGCUAACUACGUGCCAGCCGCCGCGGUAA